ACAACUCAAAUUAACUUAAAUUAACACAACUCAAAUUAGCCCAACCUAAAAUAACACAACUAAAAUUAAUUCAACUCAAAUUAACCCAGCUCAACUCAAAUUAGCACAAAUCAAAUUAACACAAAUCAACUCAAAAUAACCCAACUCUACUUAACUCAACUAAACUAAAAUUACUUCAACUGAAAUUAACACAACUCAAAUUAAUUAAACUCAAAUUAACCCAACUCAACUCAAAUGAACACAAUUCAACUUAAAUGGAUUUAACUUAAAUGAACACAAUUCAACUCAAAUCAACCCAACUUAAAUUACGGGUUGAGUGUAGAUGAAGUGUUCAAUAUAAACGCAGGGAUAAUCAGGGAUAGAUCUGGAGAUGGGGAGGAGGAUAAUGCUGUAGUAUCUGCAGUGUGUGGAUGAGCGUGGUCCUGCUCGACUGUGUGAUCAGUGCAGGAAGGUCCUCUGGGCUGCAGUAUGUGGGUAAGGUACCGCAGGGCUGCAGGAUGUGUGUAAGGUACCGCAGGGCUGCAGGAUGUGGGUAAGGUACCGCAGGGCUGCAGUAUGUGGGUAAGGUACCGCUGGGCCGCAGGAUGUGGGUAAGGUACCGCAGGGCUGCAGGAUGUGGGUAAGGUACCGCAGGGCUGCAGGAUGUGGGUAAGGUACCGCGAAGGCUGCAGGACGUGGGUAAGGUACCGUUGGGCUGAUGGAAGCGGGUUAAGGUACCGCAAGGCUGCAGGAUGUGGGUAAGGUACCGCAGGGCUGAUGGAUGUGGGUAAGGUACCGCAGGGCUGCAGGAUGUGGGUAAGGUACCGCAGGGCUGCAGGAUGUGGGUAAGGUACCGCUGGGCUGCAGGAUGUGGGUAAGGUACCGCAGGGCUGAUGGAUGUGGGUAAGGUACCGCAGGGCUGCAGGAUGUGGGUAAGGUACCGCGGGGCUGCAGGAUGUGGGUAAGGUACCGCAGGGCUGCAGGAUGUGGGUAAGGUACCGCAGGGCUGAUGGAUGUGGGUAAGGUACCGCAGGGCUGCAGGAUGUGGGUAAGGCACCGCAGGGCUGCAGGAUGAUGGUAAGGUACCGCAGGGCUGCAGGAUGUGGGUAAGGUACCGCGGGGCUGCAGGAUGUGGGUAAGGCACCGCAGGGCUGCAGGAUGAUGGUAAGGUACCGCUGGGCUGCAGGAUGUGGGUAAGGUACCGCUGGGCUGCAGGAUGUGGGUAAGGUACCGCAGGGCUGAUGGAUGCUGCAGGUCAGGAAAUGAGGAGGUUGCCGGGGUAACGGGCGAGCAGCAGUUGGAAGUGAGGAGAUGAUGGGCUGAGAAGAUCACAGUGAUUGGGAUGGAUCUGAUCAAAGUGCUUUUUUUUCCUGUUUUUUGAGCAGCAGAUGGUCUGAGUGACAGACGGAAUAGAGCUACUGUCUGUGGAGCAUCACCAGCUCCGCUCUAUUACUCUAUUACAGCUCAACACUAUUUAUAGGAUUAUUUUAUUUAAUAAAGGGAAAAAACUCAACUCAAAUGAACAUAUCACUACUCAAAUUAACUGAACUCAAAUGAACUGAACUUAAAUUAAUAUAGCACAACUCAAAUGAACGGAACUCAAAUUAAUAUAGGACAACUCAAAUGAACGGAACUCAAAUUAAUAUAGCACAACUCAAAUGAACGGAACUUAAAUUAAUAUGGCACAAAUCAACUCAACUCAAAUUAACAUAGCACAACUCAAAUUUACAUAGCACAACUCAAAUUAACUAACCUCAAAUGAAUAUAGCACAACUUAAAUUAACUGAACAUAAAUUAAUAUAGCACAACUCAACCCAACUCAACUCAAAUUAACUGGACUCAAACUAAUAGAGCACAACUCAAUUUAAGACUUGGCUGUUAACAUAGCACAACUCAAAUUAACUGAACUCAAACUAAUAGAGCACAACUCAAUUUAAGACUUGGCUGUUAACAUAGCACAACUCAAAUUAACUGAACUCAAACUAAUAGAGCACAACUCAAUUUAAGACUUGGCUGUUAACAUAGCACAGCUCAAAUUAGCUGAACUCAAACUAAUAUAGCAGAUGCAAAUGGUCUGGAGCUUCAGCAUUCAGAUUCAACACCUUUUAUAUGAUAAUUUUAUUUAUUAAAGGAAAAAAAACUCAACUCAACUCAAAUGACCAUAUCACAACUCAAAGUAACUGAACUCAAAUUAACAUAGCACAACUCAAAUUAACUGAGCUCAAAUUAAUAUAGCACAACUCAAAUGAACUGAACUCAAAUUAAUAUAGCACAACUCAAAUUACGUAAACCCAAAUUAAUACAACUCAGAUAAUUAAUUAAUUAACAUAACACAACUCAAAUGACCUCAGCUCAAAUUAUCCCAUCUCAAAUUAGGGAUGGACUGUUGAUUAAGCGUCCAAUAGAAACAGAUCACACAUAUUUUCUAUAAUGAGGGAUGGAUCUGAAGAUGCUCUGAAGCUUCAUUCAGUUUUAAUUUUAUUUUAUUUUUUUAAUUCAGACACAUUGGAGUUUUUCCAGCAGACAUAACUAGGUCACUCUAAAACCUUCAUUUAGUUUUGUUUUUUAGCCAUUCAGAGGUGACCUUGUUUGAGUGCUUUGGGUCAUUGUCCUGCUGCAGAACCCAGGUACUCCUGAGCUUAGUGUUACAAACAGAUGGCUGGAUUCUGAUUCUCCUUCAGGAUUUUCUGGUAAACAGCAGAAUUCCUGCUCCCAUCCAUUACAGCAAUUUAUCCAGCAGCUCCAGACCAUCACAAACACUACCACCAUGUUUUACAUGUUCAGUAUGAUGUUCUUUCCUGAAAUUAUGCAUUCCUAGAGCAUUGUAUAAAUGUAAGAUUAUUUGCUUAUUCCACAAAUAUGAUCUUAAAGAAUAUUAUUUUAAGUGACCAAACAAGCACAAAAGGUAACACACUGCAAAAAUUCCAUUGUCAAAAACUAGACAAAAUACAGCUCUGGGAAGAAAUUAAAAAAAACACUUAAAAAUGAUGAGUUUCUUUGAUUUUACCAAACUGAAAACCUCUGGAAUAUAAUCAAGAGGAAGAUGGAUGAUCACAAACCAUCAAACCACCAAACUGAACUGCUUGAAUUUUUGCACCAGGAGUAAAGCAGCAUAAAGUUAUCCAAAAGCAGUGUGUAAGACUGGUGGAGAAGGACAUGAUGCCAAGAUGCAUGAAACAAAAACUGAUUAAAAAUCACCAGCGUUAUUCCACCAAAUACUGAUUUCUGAAUUUUACGAAUAUGAACUUUGCAUUGUUUGAGCUCUCAAUUAAACAACAAUGUUCAUUUUACUCAAACAUAUACCUAUAAAUAGCAAAAUCAGAGAAACUGACUUUUAUUUUUUCCAGAGCUGUAUGUCUAGUUUUUUAUUUUUUUAUUUUAAUGUAAAAAAGUUUAUUUCAGGUCAUUUUGGAGACUUGCCAUUGGUCCAUUCAUUAAGAAAUUUUGACCUUGUAGUUUGAAAGUGUAUGGGACAGUUUGUGUGUUCAAAUUGUGUAGUAAACUUUUAAAAUAGGCAAAAAUGAAGAUACUUGUUUUUUAUAUGUAAAAAAAAUUGUUGAUUUACUAUAAUUUGACAAACUCAAACUCAAAUUAAUAUAGCACAACUCAAAUUAACUAACCUCAAAUUAAUAUAGCACAACUCAAACUAAUAAAGCACAACCCAAAUGAUCUGAACUCAAAUUAACACAACUCAAA